rnacentral:rRNA from 1 species
GAGCGCAACCCUUAUCCUUUGUUGCCAGCGAUUCGGUCGGGAACUCAAAGGAGACUGCCAGUGAUAAACUGGAGGAAGGUGGGGAUGACGUCAAGUCAUCAUGGCCCUUACGACCAGGGCUACACACGUGCUACAAUGGCGCAUACAAAGAGAAGCGACCUCGCGAGAGCAAGCGGACCUCAUAAAGUGCGUCGUAGUCCGGAUUGGAGUCUGCAACUCGACUCCAUGAAGUCGGAAUCGCUAGUAAUCGUGGAUCAGAAUGCCACGGUGAAUACGUUCCCGGGCCUUGUACACACCGCCCGUCACACCAUGGGAGUGGGUUGCAAAAGAAGUAGGUAGCUUAACCUUCGGGAGGGCGCUUACCACUUUGUGAUUCAUGACUGGGGUGAAGUCGUAACAAGGUAACCGUAGGGGAACCUGC